AUUGAACGCUAGCGGGAUGCCUUACACAUGCAAGUCGAACGGAGUGGCGAACGGGUGAGUAAUGUAUCGGAACGUGCCCAUUAGCGGGGGAUAACUAUGCGAAAGCGUAGCUAUUACCGCUAACUAUUGGAGUGGCCUAUACCGGAUUAGCUAGUUGGUGGGGUAACGGCCCACCAAGGCGACGAUCCGUAGCUGGUUCGAGAGGACGACCAGCCACACUGGGACUGAGACACGGCCCAGACUCCUACGGGAGGCAGCAGUGGGGAAUUUUGGACAAUGGGGGAAACCCUGAUCCAGCCAUGCCGCGUGUACGAUGAAGGCCUUCGGGUUGUAAAGCACUUUUGGCAGGAAGGCGGUACCUGCAGAAGAAGCACCGGCUAACUACGUGCCAGCCGCCGCGGUAAUAC
rnacentral:rRNA from 1 species